AUACCAGCACCCCGAGUGGUCGGGACGAUUAUUGGGCCUAAAGCAUCCGUAGCCGGUCUUGCAAGUCUUCCGUUAAAUCCAGCUGCUUAACAGAUGGGCUGCGGAGGAUACUACAAGGCUAGGAGGCGGGAGAGGCAAGCGGUACUCAGUGGGUAGGGGUAAAAUCCUCUGAUCCAUUGAAGACCACCAGUGGCGAAGGCGGCUUGCCAGAACGCGCUCGACGGUGAGGGAUGAAAGCUGGGGGAGCAAACCGGAUUAGAUACCCGGGUAGUCCCAGCUGUAAACGAUGCAGACUCGGUGAUGGGCCGGCUUUAUGCCGGCUCAGUGCCGCAGGGAAGCCGUUAAGUCUGCCGCCUGGGGAGUACGGUCGCAAGACUGAA
rnacentral:rRNA from 2 species